rnacentral:rRNA from 1 species
GACGAACCGUGCGAACGUUGUUCGGAAUCACUGGGCUUAAAGGGCGCGUAGGCGGGCUGGUCGGUCAGGGGUGAAAUCCUCCGGCUUAACCGGAGAACAGCCUUUGAUACCGCCAGUCUCGAGGAAGGUAGGGGCAUGUGGAACUUCCGGUGGAGCGGUGAAAUGCGUAGAUAUCGGAAGGAACGCCGGUGGCGAAAGCGACGUGCUGGACCUUUUCUGACGCUGAGGCGCGAAAGCUAGGGGAGCAAACGGG